UGAACGCCUCUAAGUCAGAAUCCAUGCUCGGAUAUAGACGAUAAUCACCUUUCCCGAUGUGCCGCGAAUAGCGAUAGGUGUCUUCUGGACACCCAACAUCAUACAAUUGCAACGCACUCCGCUGCCUGUCAAGUACUGGCGGUGGAGAGUAGGCUGAUUUGUAAUUUCAAAUAUUGGGAAAGAUAAAUCCUUUGUAGACGACUUAACUACAGAACGGGGUGUUGUAAGCAUGAGAGUAGUCUUGUACUACGAUCUGCUGAGAUUUAGCCCUUGUUCUAUUGAUUUGU
rnacentral:ncRNA from 1 species